rnacentral:rRNA from 1 species
GAUGAACGCUGGCUACAGGCUUAACACAUGCAAGUCGAGGGGAAACGACGGGGAAGCUUGCUUCCCCGGGCGUCGACCGGCGCACGGGUGAGUAACGCGUAUCCAACCUGCCUCUGACUGAGGGAUAACCCGUCGAAAGUCGGCCUAAUACCUCAUGGCAUUGUCUGCGGGCGUCCAACGACGAUUAAAGAUUUCAUCGGUCAGAGAUGGGGAUGCGUCUGAUUAGCUUGUUGGCGGGGUAACGGCCCACCAAGGCGACGAUCAGUAGGGGUUCUGAGAGGAAGGUCCCCCACAUUGGAACUGAGACACGGUCCAAACUCCUACGGGAGGCAGCAGUGAGGAAUAUUGGUCAAUGGGCGAGAGCCUGAACCAGCCAAGUAGCGUGCAGGAUGACGGCCCUAUGGGUGGUAAACUGCUUUUAUGCGGGGAUAAAGUGAGGGACGUGUCCUUCAUUGCAGGUACCGCAUGAAUAAGGACCGGCUAAUUCCGUG